UACACCGAGAUUUCAUACCGAAUGCAUCAUGCUGAAACAGGCUUAUGCCGUUCUCAUUUUUACUGUCCUAAUCUCUAUUUAUGAUGCUGCCAGAGACUUCAGCUUCAACUUCCUCAACUUUACCUUCAACAGUUAUAAUGUUACAAAGUUUAUGAACACUACGUUUCCAAUAUGGACAGUUAAUACUACUGCAGAAAAAGUGAUGGUGGUGUGCAAAGUGGAUAUAAUGAGAAAUAUAACCAACGAUGCCGUGUACUUCAACAGAUCUCAUCUGGACGCGCAAACGAAAGAGCGAACAAACAACCUCCUGGAGGGUCCUUCGAUGGGGACGACGCAAGCGUAAUGUAUGUUGGCGGCCCAGGAAGCACCAUGUGGCGUGAACUUCGCGUUAAAGCAAUAAAUGGAACAGUACAGCCAAGGGAGGACUGCUUGCAGCAUUUUCCUGGAGAAGGCCACGCUUUAUAUAACAGCACAUGCAAAACUCCCCCGAUGAUAUACUAGUAGGGCAUGAUUCUGCGUGGCUUUAAAUCUAAGAUCGAGAUGUAUGCUCAGUUUUUGUGUCAUCAUUGGCAGAUAUCACUAUUCUACCAAAAAUAAAAUCUU
rnacentral:misc_RNA from 1 species